rnacentral:rRNA from 1 species
UACAGAGGAUGCAAGUGUUAUCCGGAAUGAUUGGGCGUAAAGCGUCUGUAGGUGGCUUUUUAAGUCCGCCGUCAAAUCCCAGGGCUCAACCCUGGACAGGCGGUGGAAACUACCAAGCUGGAGUACGGUAGGGGCAGAGGGAAUUUCCGGUGGAGCGGUGAAAUGCGUAGAGAUCGGAAAGAACACCAGCGGCGAAGGCGCCCUGCUGGGCCGACACUGACACUGAGGGGCGAAAGCGAGGGGAGCGAAUGGG